rfam:Heligmosomoides polygyrus genome assembly, scaffold: HPBE_scaffold0001345
GCGCCGGUGGUGUAGGGCGAACAUCGCUGCCUUGAAAGCAAAAGAUGCGAGUUCGAGUCCCGCAUGGUGCA